ACGGAUUGCUAUACAAAAUGUUGGAGUGAGGCUGAUAUGGUAAUCUACUAAAAUUGUCAUGCUGAUCAUAGUGUACAUCGUCAUGCCUUUCUGAACCCAGGUAGUUAAGCAGAUGAACAAUGCUCUGAAUGAUCUGCGUGAACACGCAAACUUCAGUGCUAUGCUCUAGCAUUUGCAUUCUAUUAUGGAACUCACUACCCUGUAAUAAUAAUCAUGAUACUCUUUGCAGGAUACGUACUUUAAAGAAGCAUGAUAUGUCCCAUUUCCAUCCCUCUACUUCCUGUCGCGUGGCACGUAACAUCUUUUUCAGUGCAUUGAAGAGAAACGACCACCUGCAAGUCUUCAAUCUCCCUGUCUGCAUUGUCAUGAAAGAUGACACCAGAUGAAGCAGAUGCAGUUGUGAUUGGAUUCCGUUCCCCAGAGAAUCUACCCACCAUAGCUGCAAUCUCUCUCAACCGCUUGAAUAUAUUGAAACGCAUAUCAGCAUAACAACUGAAGAAGAGGAAAGGAAAUGUGUGUGGGGUUUCAUUCUUUUGCUCCCCUGCAUAUAAGCCAACAACAUCCCCAUCUUUAGGUUGGUAAGAUGGGAAACGACAAGAAUAGUUGUAUUUCUUUUCUUUAUUCUCCCACUCUUUCGUGAGUUGCUAGGUGCUGCUAUCCCACGUGAUGUCAAGGUGGUUCUUGGCUUGCAUUGUAAUUCUUUUACUGACAUCUUCCAAAUAGGUUAGUGAUCAUUUCUGUUUCUGCAAUUCUUGAAGAAAUGGAUUCCUGGCACUUUGUUUAUCA